rfam:Gossypium raimondii Chr07_contig_1139, whole genome shotgun sequence.
AAUAGUUUAAUGCCAUAUCAGCAUUUUCAUUCUAAAUUUCAGAUUUUCAUCCUGAAAGAAAAAACAGAUCCAAAUGAAAAUCCUGAAAUUCAGGAUGAAAUUGCUAAUGUGGCAUUAAACUAUU